UGAAGUGCCUGAUUAAAAGGAUAAUUUUGAUAGAAUUAAAUAUGUGAAUUUCACCUUCAUUAAGCCCAGAA
rnacentral:tRNA from 1 species